rnacentral:rRNA from 1 species
GACGUAGGAGGCGAGCGUUGUCCGGAUUCAUUGGGCGUAAAGAGCGCGCAGGCGGCUUGGUAAGUCGGAUGUGAAAACCCGAGGCUCAACCUCGGGCGUGCAUCCGAUACUGCUCGGCUAGAGGUAGGUAGGGGAGAUCGGAAUUCCUGGUGUAGCGGUGAAAUGCGCAGAUAUCAGGAGGAACACCGGUGGCGAAGGCGGAUCUCUGGGACGGUACUGACGCUGAGACGCGAAAGCGUGGGGAGCGAACAGG